rnacentral:piRNA from 1 species
UGCCCACAGAAGACAAAGUUGCUUCUAGCA